GUAGUCCACGCCCUAAACGAUGACAACUAGGUGUUGGGGAAGCGAUUCUCUAGUACCGCAGCUAACGCGUGAAGUUGUCCGCCUGGGGAGUACGGUCGCAAGAUUAAAACUCAAAGGAAUUGACGGGGACCCGCACAAGCGGUGGAUGAUGUGGAUUAAUUCGAUGCAACGCGAAUAACCUUACCUACCCUUGACAUGUACGGAAGCCUGCCGAGAGGUGGGUGUGCCCGAAAGGGAGCCGUAACACAGGUGCUGCAUGGCUGUCGUCAGCUCGUGUCGUGAGAUGUUGGGUUAAGUCCCGCAACGAGCGCAACCCUUGUCUCCAGUUGCUACGCAAGGGCACUCUGGAGAGACUGCCGGUGACAAACCGGA
rnacentral:rRNA from 1 species